rnacentral:tRNA from 23 species
GCACCCGUAGCUCAGCUGGAUAGAGCGCCGCCCUCCGAAGGCGGAGGCCAGAGGUUCGAAUCCUCUCGGGUGCGCCA